AGCUAUCCAACAAAAUCCCUCCCUUAAAGCAACCAGCCCUGGGGAAUGCUGUGAUGACCCAACGGCUCCUCAGGCUCUUCCUGGCCCAGUCAAAUGGUCAGAUGGGAGAAGAUUAAAAACCAACACACCCCAAUAAUCCCAGCUAACAAAAGCGACCAUGGCUACUCUGACGUGUGGGACGACGAUGCUAGCCAGGCUGUGCCAGACCCCUCCAGGGAGCCUUGCUGACCCCUCCACGACUCAAGCUGCAUUGGCUGCCCCUCCGCUGCACUCUCCAAGUUCCCUGUGCUCCUGGAUCUGGCACGCAUUAUGCUGUCUCCAGAGUACUUGUGUUGCAAAGUGUCUGUCCCCUCUCAUCACUUCAGCUGCCUACGGAUAGGGAUGGUGUCAUCUCUGAGCCUUGAUUCAUAAGACCUGCAUGGGGCAGAUGCUCACAUUGAAUGGACCAAUGAGUGGUGGUUACACUGUUUACCUGCGGGUGGAGUGGGGAGACUUCCUGUUAGCAAGUGCUUUUUCCCACACUUGAGACUGCCUCUCUCCUCUCUAAGUCCUGGAUUUUAGGCCUCCUUCCCCUUCUACCCAAGCUCACCCCCCCCUUGUCAUAACCUGAUGAGGGCUGAGGGAGGUGGUACAGGAGAUGAGUUAAGUGUGGGGCCACUUGUCAGCUAAGAACCCUUGACCCAAGUUUCCUUUUCUGGAAAACAGACAAUAACAGCACCUUCUUAGAGUGGCUAUAAGGACAUAACAAGCCCCUUCCCUCCCCCUGUCCACACUCAACAAGGGGCUAUAUUCUUUCCUGAAGGUCUGUGAUUGCCUCCGGAGGCUGGAGGGCAGCUCUGGAGUCUGGCUUGGCUUGGCAUUCUAUUUGCAACCAUUCCAUAUCCCUUGUCCCCACCCCACUCCCUCCCUAGGGCCACACCUCUCCACAAUGCAGAAGCCAUGGGGUACUCUGGGAUUUAUGUCCGUGGUGUGUAGGGGAAACUCCUGGAACAAAUGAGCGGCUGUGCACGUGGUUGUGUUUGGUUUUGGACUCAGAGGGCACCUCUGGUUUUAUGGGUCUGUCCUUGGUCUUAUGCUGGCUGCCUGCCAGGUUCCAGGGGUCCACAUCCCUGGAAUCACUACCUAGGCCCAAGGUGGGGAGCAGAGACCGAUAACCCAGGUGUCUGGGGUUAUUAGCCAUCAGAAACAUGGAACCUGACAGCAGGAGAGUGGUCACCACUUUGCCCUGACAUCUGGAGGCCUUAUUGCCCCACCCUCAGGUCAUCAUCCCCAAGGCCUGGCAGAUAUUUGUGUGAAGACAGAAGGAAUUUGGGUGAGGGCAGAGACCAGCAUGGCACCCACCCUUUUCCUCCAAUGCCCCUCCCUCUCCCAGCUCAGGGGCUUAGGAGUGUGGUAUGCAGCGGGGAUGGAGGGUAUGAACCCUAGAAGCAGACCGGCCUCAAUUUUAAUCCUAACUAGCUGUAUUGUGUGACCUUGGGCAAGUGACUCCAUUUUUCUGAGCCUCAUUUCAUAAGCUAUAAAAUGGGGAUAACAACAGCAUAUAUCUUUUAGAGAGUUGUAAGGAUUAAACAAUUAAAUGGGA
rnacentral:lncRNA from 1 species